UACCUCCUAGAGUGGCGGACUGGUGAGUAACACGUGGGUGACAUACCCUUCAGAUGGGGAUAGCUAUUAGAAAUAGUAGAUAAUACCGAAUACGAGCACAGGGGUUAGAGAUCUGUGAGGAAAGGAGCUAAGGCUCCGCUGAAGGAAUGGCCUGCGGCCCAUUAGCUAGUUGGUGAGGUAAGAGCCCACCAAGGCGAUGAUGGGUAUCCGGCCUUAGAGGGUGAACGGACACAUUGGGACUGAGAUACGGCCCAGACUCCUACGGGAGGCAGCAGCUAAGAAUAUUCCGCAAUGGACGAAAGUCUGACGGAGCGACGCCGCGUGGAUGAAGAAGGCCGGAAGGUUGUAAAAAUCCUUUUGAAACUGAAGAAUAAGCGUUGUAGGGAAUGACAGCGUGGUGACAGUAGGUUUUGAAUAAGCAACGGCUAAUUACGUGCCAGCCGCAGC
rnacentral:rRNA from 1 species